rnacentral:rRNA from 1 species
UACGUAGGGUCCGAGCGUUGUCCGGAAUUACUGGGCGUAAAGAGCUCGUAGGCGGUUUGUCGCGUUGUUCGUGAAAACUCACAGCUCAACUGUGGGCGUGCGGGCGAUACUGGCAGACUAGAGUACUGCAGGGGAGACUGGAAUUCCUGGUGUAGCGGUGGAAUGCGCAGAUAUCAGGAGGAACACCGGUGGCGAAGGCGGGUCUCUGGGCAGUAACUGACGCUGAGGAGCGAAAGCGUGGGGAGCGAACAGG